UAAUCUCACUCCAACACCUUUAUUGAUGUUGGAUGUGGACUUGGAUGCUGUCGUGUUCAAUGACUCGUCUCAAAUGCCUGAGUGUACCCUGCUUUGCAGCGUAUCAGUGUGAUAAACAUCUUCACUGUUCAGUCUUUCGGGACACGCUUGUGUUGUAGGCUCUAUGCUUUCCAACCGUCCUCUGGACAAUCUCUGACA
rnacentral:misc_RNA from 1 species